rnacentral:rRNA from 1 species
AUUGAACGCUGGCGGCAGGCCUAACACAUGCAAGUCGAACGAGUGGCGGACGGGUGAGUAAUGUCUGGGAAACUGCCUGAUGGAGGGGGAUAACUACUGGAAACGGUAGCUAAUACCGCAUACCAUCGGAUGUGCCCAGAUGGGAUGAGCUAGUAGGGGGGGUAAUGGCUCACCUAGGCGACGAUCCGUAGCUGGUCUGAGAGGAUGACCAGCCACACUGGAACUGAGCCACGGUCCAGACUCCUACGUGAGGCAGCAGUGGGGAAUAUUGCACAAUGGGCGAAAGCCUGAUGCAGCAAUGCCGCGUGUAUGAAGAAGGCUUUCGGGUUGUAAAGUACUUUCAGCUGGGAGGCGUUACCCGCAGAAGAAGCACCGGCUAACUCCGUGCCAGCAGCCGCGGUAAUAC